AUUGAACGCUGGCGGAAUGCUUUACACAUGCAAGUCGAACGGCAGCACGGACUUCGGUCUGGUGGCGAGUGGCGAACGGGUGAGUAAUGUAUCGGAACGUGCCCAGUCGUGGGGGAUAACGUAGUGAAAAUUACGCUAAUACCGCAUAUGAUCUAUGGAUGAAAGCGGGGGAUCGCAAGACCUCGCGCGAUUGGAGCGGCCGAUAUCAGAUUAGUAGUUGGUGGGGUAAAGGCCCACCAAGCCAACGAUCUGUAGCUGGUCUGAGAGGACGACCAGCCACACUGGAACUGAGACACGGUCCAGACUCCUACGGGAGGCAGCAGUGGGGAAUUUUGGACAAUGGGCGAAAGCCUGAUCCAGCCAUUCCGCGUGCAGGAUGAAGGCCCUCGGGUUGUAAACUGCUUUUGUACAAAACGAAAAGGUUUCUACUAAUACUAGGAGCUCAUGACGGUACUGUAAGAAUAAGCACCGGCUAACUACGUGCCAGCCGCCGCCGUAA
rnacentral:rRNA from 1 species